UGGGUAGCUCAGUCAGUAGAGCAUGAGGUUCUUAAUCUUAGGGUCAUGGGUUCCCGCCCCAAGUAGGGCAAAA